CUUGGAAGAAAUGGAUAUGUAGAUUCUCAGAUCUCACAGCCCAUACUUGAAGGGCAAGGUGUGCCCUAUCUACAAGAGCUUUGCUUCACACUAAUCAUUCAGAUGUGGAAAAGGACUGCAGGAGAUAUUAUCACAAGCAAAGCAGAGCACGGCUUCUUUGGGGGAUGAACUGUGCCACCCCCAACUUCUCCUGUCCCAACAGAAGGCAGAGUAAGCAAAGACGCAAGAGCACUGGCUGGACCUCCCAGCUUCUCCAGACCCAACCUCUUUCAAAACGACAUUGGAGGGAAAGGAGAAGGUAACAGGUGAAGUGGACAGACAGAAGAUGGAGAAUCACACCACGGUGAGGGAAUUCAUUCUCCUGGGAUUUCCAAAUCUCUUCAAGUAUCACACUGGGGUUCUUCAUCUUCUUCUCUG